rnacentral:rRNA from 1 species
UACGUAGGGGGCAAGCGUUGUCCGGAAUCAUUGGGCGUAAAGCGCGCGUAGGCGGCCCUGUAAGUCCGUUGUGAAAGUCAAAGGCUCAACCUUUGAAAGCCGAUGGAUACUGCAGGGCUAGAGUCCGGAAGAGGCGAGUGGAAUUCCUGGUGUAGCGGUGGAAUGCGCAGAUAUCAGGAGGAACACCAAUAGCGAAGGCAGCUCGCUGGGACGGUACUGACGCUAAGGCGCGAAAGCGUAGGGAGCGAACAGG